CCACACACACUUCAAUCCACUCUUCUUCUCAAACACACACACCUUCACUAGUCUUCAUACUCUUAAUAAAGUGUUAGCAAAUUCACUUGUAGUGAAGUACCAAGGAGAGGAGGCUUCAAGGGGAUAUCCAAGUCACGCCCAAGUUUUUUGAGAGGUAAGGGGGGAUAAAUUUCAAGUAGUUAAUAAGAAUGUGAGUAAUAAUAAUAACUUACAUAAGAAGAACUUUAAUUGUAGUUACUAGUAGAAUUUAAAAGAUUUCAACAUUAUUAUACGUGCUUGAUGAUUAGUUUUUUUCAUAUAAGUAAGUUAAAAUUCGAAUACAGUAUAUUAGACUACAAAACUAUGUUCGUAGGUGAUCAUAAUUUUCAAUAUAUAUAUAUAUAUAUUUGAAAUUAUAAUAAUGUCACUGUAACGAACUAAGAAUUUAAUAAAGAAAAGAAAAAAAUAAAUUAGACUAUAUAUAAAGGAAAAUCUUUGAGAUCCUAAAACACUGUCAUUUCGUAAUUGGAGUGAAAUGGAUUGGUAAAUGCAGAAUGCAAAAAUGUAUUGGUAAGCACG
rnacentral:lncRNA from 1 species